ensembl:lncRNA
CCCCAACACACAAUGUCUAUUGCCUGGCGAGCCCAAAAGCCUAACAGUUCUAUUACAGUUUGUUUUCCAGUAAAAACAAAACCUACCUCAUUGGCUGUGCUUCAGUCAGAAGGGAGUCGUGUUAUAAAUAUCCUGAGUCAGAUCUUCUGGAAACACAUCCAAGGUCUCAGGCUCAGACUUCUGGGUCCGAGACCCGUUUUGAGAAAAUCUGCUUCUCUGGCCUUUCAGCAGAUUUGAAUCUGGUGGGUGCCAGUCACUCUCUGCACCACGGAAGUCGUCCAGAUAGCCACCUUAGCCUCUUCCCUGGCUUCUAAGAUGGUGGCAUCCAAGGUGAUGGCAGUGAGCCUGGCCCAAGCCACCUCGGCAGCCUGUGGCAGUGCCCUCGCCGGACUUCCGUCCGCAGGUGAGUGUUCAGGGAGGAGCUGGUGUGGAGCGAGGAGGUAGAUGGGGAGGGACAGAGUCCAUUUCUGGCUUUACCUCCUUUAGGUUUUUACCUAUGUGUCCAACCAGGCUUUCAUAGCAGUUUGAGACCCCUGUGGGGUCUCAGAUCCAGAGCAUUGAUUUUAACUAAAUUCUUCAGUUUGGGCCUGUUUUCUUCAUUAGUUUCUGGGAGCUCUGUCUCCCAUCUUAGCUAUUUAUUCUUGCUGCUUAUUUUCCCUUUAGCCUCUGUUAUGUAACAAAAACUCAACCGAGUACAUUUUAACAGAAUUUUUAAAAGUCUAUUUAUUUAUUUUGAGAGAGAGAGAGAGCAUGUGCGUGCGCGCGCGCACACACACGUAUGUGGGGGAGGGGCAGAGAGAGAGAAUCCCAAGCAGGCCCUUGCUGUCAGCACAGAUCCCGACUUGGGCUCAAUCUCACAAACUCCUGAGAUGAUGACCUGAGCUGAAAUCAAGGAUCCAACACUUAACUGCUUGACCACUGAGCCCCUCAGGCGCCCUCAACUGAGUACAUUUUAAAGGUCUAGUUGGCUUUAUUAUGAGUCAGUUCAUGAAUCUGGCAACAUCCCAACUAGCAGGUCCAUGGAACACGAAAAGUUCUCAAAGGCAGAGAGAGAGAGAGCAGAAAAAAAAUUAUUAGCAGAGAGUCCAUUGUUUUAGGCAAGGUCACCCUCCUAAGGGGAAGGGAAGGGGUCCAUCAGUAAAUUUCCUAGUGCUGUCUGUGAAAUUCCCAUGUUGACCGGCUAAGGGUUAUAUUCCUGGGGCACUGAAACUGCCUUCAGGUUAGGUGGGAAGUCUUGGUUUACACUUGGGGCUUUAACCUAAGUGAUGCCAUUUUGGGCCUGUGGUUUUCUUUUUAGCCCCCCUCCCCUGCCAAUAACUCCCCCCCCCCCAAAGUCAACCUUUCUUAUAUGCUUGAUGUGUUUCCGGUUUUCAUACCGUAUUUAUUUUUGCAAAUGGGUGUUGGCUUUUGUUUGCGAGUUUAAUUUAUAUGCAGAAUAGUGCAUUGCCGACCUUAUUCUAUUGCUUUUUCUGCACUGAGAACCACGUUUUUGAAAUUGUCAGUGUCAGUAGGUGAGUGUCUAAUACUUGCUUCCAGUUCUUGCAAAGUGCUCCUGUGUGCCACUUACCUUUCUGUCUCCUGGGGGGGACACCUGGGGCCCUCCCACCUCCCCCAGCACACACAGCAGCUCAGGAUGGAAUGGGGACGACCGGGCCCCUGACCACUGCCGACCUCUGACCUCUGACACUGUGCAUUCACCCUCUGUUCUUCCGCGGGAGUCACCCUGUCAUCCACAGCUGCCCUGAGCCAGGCCACAGCUUCCCUGGGAUCUCUGCUGGGGACACUGAGUGGCUCCUCCCUGGUGGAAUCCCCUGCUGCGGCCUUGACCAUCUCCCCACUUGGAGGUAACUGACUCUGGAGAACAAACCCCUCUUUUAGGGCCCCCACUCAGUGCUUGGAAGUGUGACAAGGAAUAGGGCCUGGGCCACAGCCAGCAGCCCUCCCUGUUCGCUAGAAACAUAAGGACUCCUGAGCUUGUGAUAAGCAAUCCAUAAAAUAAUAAGAAAGCUAGAUGUUAUCAGACACUGUGCCCUCCUACUCUCUAUGCUUAGCACUUAACAUUUACCAAUUGGUUUAAUUAUCAUAACAAUCACAGAGGAAGACUGUGGGGAUAACAAUCACAGAGGAAGACUGUGGGGGACCGGGCCGGUGCCAGGCUGAGACCGGGUCAAGCAGCGUUCCCUGUUGACUCAAGCCAACCCGGUAGUUCCCCCUCCCAUUCCCCCACUUUCAAGGGCAUACGAAAGCCUUGUCAAGGCUGAGAAAGUUAACUCCUGAAGACUGUGGUCUGCAGGUGUUGGCAGUAAUGCUACCUCCCUUUUUCUACCCCGAGUCAGAUAGAAACAAACAUGGGAAUUGUGUUUUGCUAGCAAUCUUAUCAACAAGGUCUUGUGACCCAUCUAGAAAGUGCACAAGAAACACAGAACUAAAUGUUUUGGUGGGCAGCAAUUAUGUGAAACCUGUUUAUUCUUAGAAUGACCUAACCUAUAAGAGUCUGGUUAUAAAAGAUUGUGUACAGCAACAAUAAAGCCGUCACUUGGGCCAUCAGCCCAGGGGACCCUCCUGUUCCCAAACUUUCUCUUCUCUCUUUUUUUCUUGCAUUCCCCUACCCUCAGGACCCUGACCUCGGUGUUUGUCGCGCCGGCCACGACAGAAGACAACACUGACCCUCAUGUAUGAAUGAAGGAACGUUGGCCAAAAGCCCUGGACCAGGAGGUGGGGUUGCUCUCAAGCCUGGGAUAGGAAGUAGAAUCAAAAUGC